UUAAAUUGAAGAGUUUGAUCAUGGCUCAGAUUGAACGCUGGCGGCAGGCCUAACACAUGCAAGUCGAACGGUAACAGGAAGCAGCUUGCUGCUUCGCUGACGAGUGGCGGACGGGUGAGUAAUGUCUGGGAAACUGCCUGAUGGAGGGGGAUAACUACUGGAAACGGUGGCUAAUACCGCAUAACGUCGCAAGACCAAAGAGGGGGACCUUCGGGCCUCUUGCCAUCAGAUGUGCCCAGAUGGGAUUAGCUUGUUGGUGAGGUAACGGCUCACCAAGGCGACGAUCCCUAGCUGGUCUGAGAGGAUGACCAGCCACACUGGAACUGAGACACGGUCCAGACUCCUACGGGAGGCAGCAGUGGGGAAUAUUGCACAAUGGGCGCAAGCCUGAUGCAGCCAUGCCGCGUGUAUGAAGAAGGCCUUCGGGUUGUAAAGUACUUUCAGCGGGGAGGAAGGUGUUGUGGUUAAUAACCGCAGC
rnacentral:rRNA from 1 species